UCCUGUCUGAAUAUGGGGGGACCAUCCUCCAAGGCUAAAUACUCCUGACUGACCGAUAGUGAACCAGUACCGUGAGGGAAAGGCGAAAAGAACCCCGGCGAGGGGAGUGAAAAAGAACCUGAAACCGUGUACGUACAAGCAGUGGGAGCACGCUUAGGCGUGUGACUGCGUACCUUUUGUAUAAUGGGUCAGCGACUUAUAUUCUGUAGCAAGGUUAACCGAAUAGGGGAGCCGAAGGGAAACCGAGUCUUAACUGGGCGUUAAGUUGCAGGGUAUAGACCCGAAACCCGGUGAUCUAGCCAUGGGCAGGUUGAAGGUUGGGUAACACUAACUGGAGGACCGAACCGACUAAUGUUGAAAAAUUAGCGGAUGACUUGUGGCUGGGGGUGAAAGGCCAAUCAAACCGGGAGAUAGCUGGUUCUCCCCGAAAGCUAUUUAGGUAGCGCCUCGUGAAUUCAUCUCCGGGGGUAGAGCACUGUUUCGGCAAGGGGGUCAUCCCGACUUACCAACCCGAUGCAAACUGCGAAUACCGGAGAAUGUUAUCACGGGAGACACACGGCGGGUGCUAACGUCCGUCGUGAAGAGGGAAACAACCCAGACCGCCAGCUAAGGUCCCAAAGUCAUGGUUAAGUGGGAAACGAUGUGGGAAGGCCCAGACAGCCAGGAUGUUGGCUUAGAAGCAGCCAUCAUUUAAAGAAAGCGUAAUAGCUCACUGGUCGAGUCGGCCUGCGCGGAAGAUGUAACGGGGCUAAACCAUGCACCGAAGCUGCGGCAGCGACGCUGAUGCGUUGUUGGGUAGGGGAGCGUUCUGUAAGCCUGCGAAGGUGUGCUGUGAGGCAUGCUGGAGGUAUCAGAAGUGCGAAUGCUGACAUAAGUAACGAUAAAGCGGGUGAAAAGCCCGCUCGCCGGAAGACCAAGGGUUCCUGUCCAACGUUAAUCGGGGCAGGGUGAGUCGACCCCUAAGGCGAGGCCGAAAGGCGUAGUCGAUGGGAAACAGGUUAAUAUUCCUGUACUUGGUGUUACUGCGAAGGGGGGACGGAGAAGGCUAUGUUGGCCGGGCGACGGUUGUCCCGGUUUAAGCGUGUAGGCUGGUUUUCCAGGCAAAUCCGGAAAAUCAAGGCUGAGGCGUGAUGACGAGGCACU
rnacentral:rRNA from 1 species